CUGCCCCUGUCAGGGGGACAACCCGCCGAAAGGCGGGCUAAACCCGCGUACAUGCCACCGGGGCAUCCCGGAGGCAGGAAAGGCUUCGGCCGGACAGGGAUGGGCAUGCGGCGCAUUAGGCAGUAGGCGGGGUAACGGCCCACCUAACCGACGAUGCGUAGGGGUUCUGAGAGGAAGGUCCCCCACACUGGUACUGAGACACGGACCAGACUCCUACGGGAGGCAGCAGUGAGGAAUAUUGGUCAAUGGUCGGGAGACUGAACCAGCCAGGCCGCGUGAGGGAUGAAGGUACAGAGUAUCGUAAACCUCUUUUGUCAGGGAACAAAGGCGGGGACGCGUCCCCGGAUGAGUGUACCUGAAGAAAAAGCAUCGGCUAACUCCGUGCCAGCAGCCGCGGUAAUACGGAGGAUGCGAGCGUUAUCCGGAUUUAUUGGGUUUAAAGGGUGCGCAGGCGGUCUGUUAAGUCAGCGGUCAAAGCCCGGGGCUCAACCCCGGCCCGCCGUUGAAACUGGCAGUCUCGAGUUGGAGAGAAGUAUGCGGAAUGCGCGGUGUAGCGGUGAAAUGCAUAGAUAUCGCGCAGAACUCCGAUUGCGAAGGCAGCAUGCCGGCUCCACACUGACGCUGAGGCACGAAAGCGUGGGUAUCGAACAGGAUUAGAUACCCUGGUAGUCCACGCAGUAAAC
rnacentral:rRNA from 1 species